GUAGCUCAACAGAGUAAGUUGAAAUUGCGUUGUGAAAGCUGAGGUUGAAAGGUUGAGCUAAAGAGCUUUGUUUUUUUUAAAUCGUACAGUCUGCCGGAAAUCACUGAGGGUUUCUGUAUUGUUGAAUGAUGCGAUCUGCCUUCCUUUGGGAAGAUAACCUUGUCCUGGGGUUAGGAAGAGGAGGAAGAGCUCUACACCCACCUGAUCUGGAAGGGGAGCUCUUCCAGGCCUCUGACUUGUGAAGACAGACACUGCAGAGGACUUUUUGCUGAGAAAAGAAGCUGAAUGAAGGGAUGGAUGUCUUUAAAAGGUGGAGAAAAGCAUGAAUUCUUUAAAAUACUUUGAGUGUAGAGUAUGGGUGUGUGGAAGACUUCCUGGAGGAGGUGAGAUGAUCUAAGGGAGGCACGUUGCUCUUGUGGGAUGGAGCAGAGCAUUCAGGGUGGAGAUUCCUGGAUGAUAUGGACAGAGGCAGAGGUGAAGUUUCACAUUUUGGAGGAUGGAUAUAGCUGGGCUGCUUUGAAAGAGACAUGUCAAGAUGGAAGUGGACCCAACAUAAAAGUUAGUGGACACAACACAAAAGUAAGUCUUUUGGGGAAACCACACCCCUACCUGGAGCUUUACAUACACUUACUUAAUCCUCACAAUAAUCCUAAGCAGUAGGCAGAACUAGCACCUUUAUUUCACAGAUGAGGAAACUGAGGCACAGAAGAGUAGGAGGAUGUGACCAUGAGCAUGGAGAAGGAUGAGGUAUAGCCAGGAUGGGACCAUAGGGCUGCUCAUCUCCAGUUCUAAGACCAUUUAAGGGUAUGAUUCUAGAGCCAGCCAAUCUGUAUUUGAAUCUUAACUCUUCCUCCUCCCAGUUGUGUGAACUUGAGGAAACUACAUAAUGUCUCUGUGCCCCAGGUCACCUUCUGUAAGAGAGAUGAAUGUCUGCCCACUUCACAGGGUCGUGAAUGAUAAUCAGAAUGGAACUAAUUUACACGGGUAAGCAUUUAGAGCAGUGGCUGCCUUACAAGGUUAAGUGCUCAUGAGAGUUUGGCAAAUGAAUUUUUACAUUCUUAGCCACCAAGAGAUAUUCGGUGCAAUAGAAGCCUGAGUGAUUGUCUGUAGGAGGGUGUGCGUAGAUAAAAGGAGAGGGAUGCCUCAGCUGGACCUCACUGCAUGAGCAGAAAGUCAUCGGGCUGCCCUUCGGAGCCUCCUUCAGCAGGUCCCCUCCAGAGCAGUCUUUGCCUCAUUCUUGCAGCUCCAAGGGGAGCCAGUGAGAUG
rnacentral:lncRNA from 1 species